rnacentral:rRNA from 1 species
GUUUGAUCCUGGCUCAGAUUGAACGCUGGCGGCAUGCCUUACACAUGCAAGUCGAACGGUAACAGGUCUUCGGAUGCUGACGAGUGGCGAACGGGUGAGUAAUACAUCGGAACGUGCCCGAUCGUGGGGGAUAACGAGGCGAAAGCUUUGCUAAUACCGCAUACGAUCUACGGAUGAAAGCGGGGGAUCUUCGGACCUCGCGCGGACGGAGCGGCCGAUGGCAGAUUAGGUAGUUGGUGGGAUAAAAGCUUACCAAGCCGACGAUCUGUAGCUGGUCUGAGAGGAUGAUCAGCCACACUGGGACUGAGACACGGCCCAGACUCCUACGGGAGGCAGCAGUGGGGAAUUUUGGACAAUGGGCGAAAGCCUGAUCCAGCCAUGCCGCGUGCAGGAUGAAGGCCUUCGGGUUGUAAACUGCUUUUGUACGGAACGAAAAGCCUCUUUCUAAUAAAG